GAUCGUAGUCUCAGAUGUUAUUGUAUCACGGCAGAAAUAUGUGGCAUGGUGGUGGUGCUUAUUCGGGCGGGAUUACGUUCGCUACCAACGACUGUUGAACAUAUUUAUAAAAUUUGAAAGUUUGAUAUUUAGUACACGAUUUUAUUCCGUUAACAUGGAAGUCGUUUGCGAAGACAAAUUUAUAAGGAAAGAAUACCCAAAAAAUUUACGACACGGUCAAAAAAACGAAUUGAAAUGACAGAGAAACGUCUUUGGUAUCAAUUAGCUAUUUUCUAAUAAAAACGAAGUCUGUGCACAUUAAAGAGAUCUAAUUAAAUGUUUGAUAGUUUCGAAACAAAUAUUGAUAAAGUAUUUUCUGAACCAACUAUAUUUUUCCGACCGAUAAGGCGAAUCCCAAGCAAAUUUAACAACGGUUAGCCAAAAAUACUUAAUUUAAUUAAUAGGUGGGUUUAAUUAAUAAAUGUAUUAUUGAUUAAGAAUAUUUUCUAUUUUAAAUAAAAACAAUGAAUUAUUUUUGGA